rnacentral:misc_RNA from 1 species
CGCACAUUGCGCCCCUUGGUAUUCCAUUGGGCAUGCCUGUUCGAGCGUCAUCUACACCUUCAAGCUACGCUUGGUGUUGGGCUUCUGUCCGCGAAUCUUCGGGGACUCGCCUCAAAUCCAUUGGCAGCGGCUCCGUUGACCCCUUGCGCAGCACUUCUGGCGCACAUGGGAGGCCAUCGGCGGGUCGGCGUCCAUCAAGAAACCAUCGUUUGACCUCGAAUCAGGUAGGGAUACCCGCUGAACUUAA